rnacentral:rRNA from 1 species
AACGAACGCUGGCGGCAGGCCUAACACAUGCAAGUCGAGCGGACCUUCGGGGUUAGCGGCGGACGGGUGAGUAACGCGUGGGAAUAUGCCCUUCUCUACGGAAUAGUCCUGGGAAACUGGGGGUAAUACCGUAUACGCCCUUUGGGGGAAAGAUUUAUCGGGGAAGGAUUAGCCCGCGUUGGAUUAGGUAGUUGGUGGGGUAAUGGCCUACCAAGCCGACGAUCCAUAGCUGGUUUGAGAGGAUGAUCAGCCACACUGGGACUGAGACACGGCCCAGACUCCUACGGGAGGCAGCAGUGGGGAAUCUUAGACAAUGGGGGCAACCCUGAUCUAGCCAUGCCGCGUGAGUGAUGAAGGCCUUAGGGUUGUAAAGCUCUUUCAGCUGGGAAGAUAAUGACGGUACCAGCAGAAGAAGCCCCGGCUAACUCCGUG